rnacentral:rRNA from 1 species
CCUACGGGUGGCAGCAGUGAGGAAUAUUGGUCAAUGGACGAGAGUCUGAACCAGCCAAGUAGCGUGAAGGAUGACUGCCCUAUGGGUGGCAAACUUCUUUUAUAUGGGAAUAAAACGUUCCACGUGUGGGAUUUUGUAUGUACCAUAUGAAUAAGGAUCGGCUAACUCCGUGCCAGCAGCCGAGGUAAUACGGAGGAUCCGAGCGUUAUCCGGAUUUAUUGGGUUUAAAGGGAGCGUAGGUGGAGUGUUAAGUCAGUUGUGAAAGUUUGCGGCUCAACCGUAAAAUUGCAGUUGAAACUGGCAGUCUUGAGUACAGUAGAGGUGGGCGGAAUUCGGGGUGUAGCGGUGAAAUGCUUAGAUAUCACGAAGAACUCCGAUUGCGAAGGCAGUUCACUGGACUGCAACUGACACUGAGGCUCGAAAGUGUGGGUAUCAAACAGGAUUAGAUACCCCUGUAGUC